UCGAUUUUCGCUAAUUUUUAAUUCUUCCCCUGUCUCGUCAUUUUCGGAACAUGCUAUGCACGUUGUGCUUUACCAACCCCCGUACGUCGCGCGCAGCCGCGCACCCACACUACACCUGUUACUACAACGAAACCGUUUAGCGUGUUCGUACUCGUACUACUCCGCGCCGCUCAUUCCAGUGCGUACGUCGAAGCUUUUACGUCGCGUCCUUCAUGUUGCAAGUAGCACUGUUGCAGUUUUCUUUUCUUUUAUUCGUUAAUGAGGUAUUUUUAAUUAUUAUUUUAUUAAAAAGUUUCGUAAAAGUGUAUUUGAACACAAUCACGUUUUAUUUACUCGAUGGCGAUCGUGUUUUAUUCGGGAAAAUUAGACGAACUAAGUUCGUAGUGUCGCCUAUUGUUCUUCAUUCGAUUGUCAAUGUCUGCAAAGUACGCGUCUCCGUCGUUUCCGGUAUUUAUUUGUGAAUUACCUGAUUUACAUGGAAUAUUUUUCGUCGGUAACUGUGUAUAGAAGUGCGUAAAUAUGUAAAAAAGUUCGUUCAUUACUUAUUCUUGUAUGUGUGGGUGGCUGUAAAAGUGUAACGGUCAUUCGACUUCGCGAGAUCGCAACUUACAUUGUACUUACGUUUCGGAAUCUACCUAACGAUUUGUCUAUUUUGUAAUGAAAAUGUUUUGAUUUCGUAUUUCGUGGUGUUUAUUUUAUGUAUUAUUUUCGCAAGAAGUGCGUGAAUAUGUAAAAAGUUCGUACGUCGUUGUGUAGGUGGCUGUAAAAGUGUAACGGUCAUUCGCCGGUAGUGUUUUAUGUCAACGAUCGACGUCUUUUUUGCUUGUGUGUUGUUUGGUGUCCAGCGAUCUGCCAUGUAACGCUGCAGUUUUACGUUCAUUUCUCUGUUUGCUUCUGUUAAUCGGUAAUUAGCCGCGUGAACGAGUCAAGGAAAGAAAACGCUUUGAAAAAUACUACGAAAUAAAAAACAGCACUCCUCGUCAACAUCGAAUUUGCUCGUUGUUUUCCAGUUAGCUUCAAAAUUAGCUCAUCGGCAUUUAAACAGCUUUCCACUUUUGGACGUUUCUACCUGAAUAACUACUGAUCAUUAUACGUAUCUACCAGUUCUGGAAAAUUCAAACACUUACCUAUUAUCAUCCACUAUUGAAAAUCUCAAGAUAUUACUGGACAAUAAGGUUUGUAUUGUACCGAGUUCAACAUUACGAUGAAGAAUCAUUUCGAAAUUGGAUACUGUCUACUUGAACAUACAAAUUCCAUACAUUUGGAAGUACGAGUAAUUAGAAAGUUUUAUUGGAAGUACCUGCUUAUAAUAUUGGUAAAAUUACGAGAAUUAUUUUAUGAAAAAUUCAACGUUCAUUGGAGCUGUUUCCCACCCACUGAUGACUGACGUCCUCAAACCAAACUGAAUUACUCCUGGAAAAUUCAAAUACAUUCACAUUCUCAUGCUAAUGAAAAUCUUUAGAUACCAAUCGAGGUUCGCAUGGUAGCAAUUCCCAACCACCUACGUAUAUAAUAAAGAAUUGUUUCGACUCCGAGAUCUGAAUGUAUGAAUUCAAUAUCAGUAAUUAUUAGAAAGCUGUAAAAUUUAAUAAUUUGGCAACCUACCUGCUCAUUGCAUGCAUGGAAUUACGACUUAUAAAGAUGACAAUCGUUGUCGGUCCUAUGUGGAAACAGUUGAUGGUUAAUUUCUCGGGAAAAAAUAUUUUAAAAGCGCGAAUAUUCGUACGUAACACAUUAUUGUACAUCAUACGAAACGAUUUCUUCAGUGAAAUGUGAUAGUAGAUCAUCUAAUCUAGAUAUCGAAUAAUGUAAUAUUAAUUUUCAUUUUGUAAAAAUGUUGAUAUUGUUUGGUGAUUUGAAAAUGUAUUUUGUAGACCCACUUCAUUUUGUCAUUCCCAAUUCCCAAACAAUUCUGUAUGCCAUUAUGUGCCUAAACCUGUGUUAAAUGUACGUAAUGUACGUACUACGUAAUAUGUAUCUUUUAAGUUGUAAUGUAGUAUCCGGAUACUUGAGUAGAUUUAAGCAAUAGGUUAAGUUGGUAAUUGUCAUAGGUACCUAUUUAUUUCAAUUACCGAUGUAUUCGCGAUCAUACUCAUUGUUAUUCAUGUCAUGUUUAAUUGUUAAUGUAAAAUGUUCAACUAAUAUUUUUUUUGACAGCAGAAUAAUUAAGAAGAUUCGCAGAUCAUGUAGAUCUAUUGAUGGCAGAAAGGUAAGUGGAUAUUGAGUUACUUCGAAUACGCGUGUUUUUUUCGAAAAAUUGAUUGAAAAAUUUUAGCAUUAAG